UGGUGUCCCAAAUUUUAAUGGUAAUACUUUUUCCUGUUGUUCCUAAUAGGUUGUUUCUCUCACGUAGGCCUAUAUGUCACACUGAGCUUGAAAUUCCCAUCAUCCACAAAGCAACAGAACAGCAUUAUUUGUCUGCUCCCUCCUUUCUUUGAGAGCAAUUCAGGCUUACUACUGAAAUCAUUUCAUCCAGUAAUCAGGGAGUGUCAAGUUAAAAAGAAAAAGAAGGAAAAACUCGAAAGUGCCAUAAAAGUCUAUUGACAGAAAAUCUUCAAAUGACAUUUGACUGACUGCAAGAGUUUCAGCUCCAGGGAGGAUCUUAACCUUGUGCUGAGAGGAGCAGGAUAUCUGCCUGGCUUGGGCCUCUGCCAUGCCCUAACUGGAGGAGUGUUAUUAGAUUCUGCUUUUCACAGACACCAUCAGGUGCCUUUCAGACCCCAGCAGUCCAUCUGCACCCACACACAGAGACUAUCGCCACAGAGACGUCCAAGACAAACACGCGGCUGGGUGAUGCAGAAGUCCAAAACAUCUGAACUCAGGUUGUGUCAUCCAAAAUCGAGCAAACGUGUAAAAUAAGCAUACCUCUUCUCAUUUAAUUUAAUUUAAGUGUGUGUGUGUGUAUACACUGAUCAUUUAUAACAUUAUGACCACCUUCCUAAUAUUGUGUUGGCCACCCUUUUGCUGCCAAAACAGCCCUGACCCAUCAAGGC